CGGACCAAGGAGUUUAGCGUGUGCGCGAGUCAUUGGGUGGAAAACCUAAAGGCGCAAUGAAAGUGAAGGGGGCCUCUGGCCCCCGAGGGAAGAUGGGCGUCCGUCCUUCGCAGGCGGCGCCCCGCACUCCCGGGGCGUCUCUUUCUCGUUACGAGUGGAGGCGCACCUGUAGCGCACUCGCUGAUACCCGAAAGAUGGUGAACUAUGCCUGGCCAGGACGAAGCCAGGGGAAACCCUGGUGGAGGUCCGCAGCGAUUCUGACGUGCAAAUCGAUCGUCGGAGCUGGGUAUAGGGGCGAAAGACCAAUCGAACCAUCUAGUAGCUGG
rnacentral:rRNA from 1 species